rnacentral:tRNA from 1 species
GCCCGGAUGGCGAAAUAGGCAGACGCAGGGGGCUUAAACCCCCUGGCUCGCAAGAGCGUGCGGGUUCGAAUCCCGCUCCGGGCA